UUGGUUAAGUUAGAAAGGGCGCACGGUGGAUGCCUUGGCACUAGGAGCCGAAGAAGGACGGGACUAACACCGAUAUGCUUUGGGGAGCUGUACGUAAGCGUUGAUCCAGAGAUUUCCGAAUGGGGGAACCCACUAUCUUUAGUCGGAUAGUAUCCUUACGUGAAUACAUAGCGUGAGGAAGGCAGACCCAGGGAACUGAAACAUCUAAGUACCUGGAGGAAGAGAAAGAAAAAUCGAUUUCCUGAGUAGCGGCGAGCGAAACGGAAAGAGCCCAAACCAAGAAGCUUGCUUCUUGGGGUUGUAGGACACUCUAUACGGAGUUACAAAAGAAAGUUAUAAAUGAAGCGGUCUGGAAAGGCCCGCCAAAGACGGUAACAGCCCGGUAGUUGAAAUGGCUUUCCCUCCAGAGUGGAUCCUGAGUACGGCGGAACACGUGAAAUUCCGUCGGAAUCCGGGAGGACCAUCUCCCAAGGCUAAAUACUCCCUAGUGACCGAUAGUGAACCAGUACCGUGAGGGAAAGGUGAAAAGCACCCCGGAAGGGGAGUGAAACAGUUCCUGAAACCGUGUGCCUACAAGUAGUUAGAGCCCGUUAAUGGGUGAUAGCGUGCCUUUUGUAGAAUGAACCGGCGAGUUACGAUUUGUUGCAAGGUUAAGCGGAAAAAGCGGAGCCGUAGCGAAAGCGAGUCUGAAUAGGGCGCAUAAGUAACAGGUCGUAGACCCGAAACCAGGUGAUCUACCCAUGUCCAGGAUGAAGGUAAGGUAAUACUUACUGGAGGUCCGAACCCACGCACGUUGAAAAGUGCGGGGAUGAGGUGUGGGUAGCGGAGAAAUUCCAAUCGAACUUGGAGAUAGCUGGUUCUCUCCGAAAUAGCUUUAGGGCUAGCCUCGAGGUAAAGAGUCAUGGAGGUAGAGCACUGUUUGGACUAGGGGCCCUUCUCGGGUUACCGAAUUCAGAUAAACUCCGAAUGCCAUGUACUUAUACUCGGGAGUCAGACUGCGAGUGAUAAGAUCCG
rnacentral:rRNA from 1 species